rnacentral:rRNA from 1 species
UACGAAGGGGGCGAGCGUUGUUCGGAAUUACUGGGCGUAAAGGGCGCGUAGGCGGCCCCUUUUGUCGCGUGUGAAAGCCCCGGGCUCAACCUGGGAGGUGCGCGCGAAACGGGGGGGCUUGAGUUCGGGAGAGGAGCGUGGAAUUCCCAGUGUAGAGGUGAAAUUCGUAGAUAUUGGGAAGAACACCGGUGGCGAAGGCGGCUCACUGGCUCAUUACUGACGCUCAGGCGCGAUAGCGUGGGGAUCAAACAGG